GGAUAUGUAAUUCAAUCGGUAGAAUACCCGACUUUUAAUCGGGCGGCUGAGAGUUCGAGUCUCUCCAUAUCCACCA
rnacentral:tRNA from 1 species